CUUGCAGCCCAUGGCAUUUAAUUAGGGGGGACGGUUUUAUACAUUUGUUAGAUAAUUACACUACUUGACACAGAUAAUGACAUGAUACAGCAAUGGAUAAACCAAAAGGGCCUAGCUUAUGGAUACAAACUAACGAGGAACAAAUAAGUAGGAUGUUGGCUACAGAUGUCAACAACUGUAUGUGGGCCUCUGCUUCUGGGGGAACUCGGAAUGGGCAGUCUACUUCUUAGCAGGAACCACAUUUGAGUAAACGAUUUCCUUGUAUUUAAAUCAUGCUUGAUCAUCACUUAUUAAUUAGGCUUGCUCUGGGGAACCCCCUGGCUCAAAAAAGGUUAAUUCCGCCCCCGAAUAGUAUAUGCAUUUGAUCGUUGACUCCCUUGACGCUUUCUGAAAGCCUGUUAGUAUUUAUGCUGCAUAACACAUCCGCCCCAUCAUCCACACGCUCCAUGUCUGGAACUCGCAAACAAAGUCGUUAAAAGGCUUUAAGAUAACGAACAGCACUUAUACAUUGUGCUUCCAUCUCCAGCAUCGUCUUAAGCCAACUUGUUCAAAAGGUAUCUUUAUAUCAAUGUUCCAACAGACAUUUCAAAUUCCGUGCUUUCACGAGGUGACAUUUCCUCGAGGAACCGGUAAUUUUCUAUGAGAGGUGGGAUUGAACCGACAACCCCUGCCUGAUAACACGUCGCACUGUACCGAGAUGUCGUGUAGGCUGCCUUGAUCCUCUUAAAGUUGAUACGGUGCGUCUAGAACCGCCGUAGUCUGGUUUGGUCCAUGACUCAGGUCUGCCACACGGAGAGGGGACUAUGAAAAUCCUCUGGUUUGGAGCGGACCAUGAAGCUGUAUCGUGUUUCCCCACAAAUGGAUGCCAUGGGAUUACACCGUCUCUUGAUGUGACAUCGACCACACAGUCUCUCAUGUCGGUCUUUUUAACCGGCCCCGAAACACUCACAAAUAAGUGAGUAGCAGGGUCCUCAAGCAAGCCAUUGUUGUUAUAUCUGCCAUUUACUAGAAGAUAUUUCCAUCCGUCACACCACUGUAGCUUUGCAGUGAGCUGAUGUCUGUAGUAAACAGUUCAGCCAGCCAUUUGGUCCUACAUAACAAUGUCAAUCAGAGACUAAAACUCGCAAAUAGGACCAAACAUAUGUGACAUCUUUUGGCAGAACGAGGCUCCUGGAGGGAUUUUGAAAAUGAAGAGGAAGGCUACUUUGCUGAAAUAUAUUUAGCAAAGCUGCCGUGAAGCAAGCGGGAACGAGGUUACGAAGCCAGGGGAGUGUUACUAACGAGGCUCGCGCAGACAUACGGCGCAACUCCGCGGCCCGGGAAGGACGGGCCGAAAAUACACCGUUAGCCUCCGGAGAGCGGGGUCAACCGGUCAAGAAGAGGCUUUUUUAUAAACGCAGCUAUCAACUUGCAUCCAGCCAUGCCUUUCAAAACGGAAGAAGCAUCUUUUGUGGACUAAAAUGCUCCAAAUGUCACAGAAAAACAGUUUUGUCCUUCAAGAGUUUCACAAGACGUUUGUGAUAUCUCAUGUAGGUCCUGUCGGGGCUUCUUUAGCACAAAGAAAGCCACCCUAGUCGCUGGAGCAAUAGCCAAGAGGAUACAUCGUGCAUCCAUGCAAUGCCUAAUGAAAUCUUUUGUGUAUGGGUGGAAAAGGGUUUGAGACGAUGCACACAUCCUCUUCAUCUUUCUGGAUGGUGCUUAGGAAAAACUACAGAGGGGUCCCUCUUCUGCUGCUGCUGCUGGGGAACAGAGGAGACGAAGAAGAAGAAGAAGAAGAAGAAGAAGAAGAAGAAGAAGAAGAAGAAGAAGAAGUUCUUAGAUGGAAAGCACUCCAUUGGUUUCAACAAAAGAAAGCCAAUGCUCAAAGUGCACCAAGCUGCGUUGGCAUCAGAGGCGUUUUUAAUCACACAGAACCGCGCAAAUGUACACACUAUCCAACGUGUUUUCUAGGAAGAUCGUUUAGUGCGUUCUACCAGAAGAGAAUUAAGUGAGAUUAGUUUGGGGAAACAAAGUAUGACUCAUAGUUGUCUGUUCGACAUUCGU
ensembl:lncRNA